AUACGAAGGGGGCUAGCGUUGCUCGGAAUCACUGGGCGUAAAGCGCACGUAGGCGGCUUCUUAAGUCAGGGGUGAAAGCCUGGAGCUCAACUCCAGAACUGCCUUUGAUACUGAGGAGCUUGAGUCCGGGAGAGGUGAGUGGAACUGCGAGUGUAGAGGUGAAAUUCGUAGAUAUUCGCAAGAACACCAGUGGCGAAGGCGGCUCACUGGCCCGGUACUGACGCUGAGGUGCGAAAGCGUGGGGAGCAAACAG
rnacentral:rRNA from 1 species